rnacentral:rRNA from 1 species
CCUCGGGAGGCUGCAGUGAGGAAUAUUGGUCAAUGGGCGCGAGCCUGAACCAGCCAAGUAGCGUGAAGGAUGACUGCCCUACGGGUUGUAAACUUCUUUUAUAAAGGAAUAAAGUGAGGCACGUGUGCCUUUUUGUAUGUACUUUAUGAAUAAGGAAUGGCUAACUCCGUGCCAGCCGCCGCGGUAAUACGGAGGAAGCGGGCGUUUUCCGGAUUUAAUGGGUUUAAAGGGGGCGUCGGCGGGGCGGUAAGUCAGUGGUCAAAUUGAGGGGCUCAACCCCUUCCCGCCAUUGAAACUGGCGCUCUUGAGUGGAAGAGAAGUAUGCGGAAUGCGUGGUGUAGCGGUGAAAUGCAUAGAUAUCACGCAGAACCCCGAUUGCGAAGGCAGCAUGCCGGCUUCCUACUGACGCUGAAGCACGAAAGCGUGGGGAUCGAACAGGAUUAGAUACCCUUGUAGUC